GAUGAACGCUGGCGGCGUGCCUAAUACAUGCAAGUCGAGCGAACAGACGAGGAUCUUGCUCCUCUGACGUUAGCGGCGGACGGGUGAGUAACACGUGGAUAACCUACCUAUAAGACUGGGAUAACUUCGGGAAACCGGAUCUAAUACCGGAUAACAUGUUGAACCGCAUGGUUCAACAGUGAAAGACGGUCUUGCUGUCACUUAUAGAUGGAUCCGCGCUGCAUUAGCUAGUUGGUAAGGUAACGGCUUACCAAGGCAACGAUGCGUAGCCGACCUGAGAGGGUGAUCGGCCACACUGGAACUGAGACACGGUCCAGACUCCUACGGGAGGCAGCAGUAGGGAAUCUUACGCAAUGGGCGAAAUCCUGACGGAGCAACGCCGCGUGAGUGAAGAAGGUCUUCGGAUCGUAAAACUCUGUUAUUAGGGAAGAACAAAUGUGUAAGUAACUAUGCACGUCUUGACGGUACCUGAUCAGAAAGCCACGGCUAACUACGUG
rnacentral:rRNA from 1 species